UCAGUUCGGAUUGUAGUCUGCAACUCGACACAUGAAGCUGGAAUCGCUAGUAAUCGCAGAUCAGAAUGCUGCGGUGAAUACGUUCCCGGGUCUUGUACACACCGCCCGUCACACCAUGGGAGUCGGAAAUGCCCGAAGCCGGUGACCCAACCAAAAGGAGGGAGCCGUCGAAGGCAGGUCUGAUAACUGGGGUGAAGUCGUAACAAGGUAGC
rnacentral:rRNA from 1 species